rnacentral:rRNA from 3 species
AAUCCAUAGGUUAAUGAGGCGAACCGGGGGAACUGAAACAUCUAAGUACCCCGAGGAAAAGAAAUCAACCGAGAUUCCCCCAGUAGCGGCGAGCGAACGGGGAGGAGCCCAGAGCCUGAAUCAGCAUGUGUGUUAGUGGAAGCGUCUGGAAAGGCGCGCGAUACAGGGUGACAGCCCCGUACACAAAAGCGCAUGUGCUGUGAGCUCGAUGAGUAGGGCGGGACACGUGGUAUCCUGUCUGAAUAUGGGGGGACCAUCCUCCAAGGCUAAAUACUCCUGACUGACCGAUAGUGAACCAGUACCGUGAGGGAAAGGCGAAAAGAACCCCGGCGAGGGGAGUGAAAAAGAACCUGAAACCGUGUACGUACAAGCAGUGGGAGCACCCUUUGGGUGUGACUGCGUACCUUUUGUAUAAUG